GAGGCGACCUCCUCCUGCUGAGCCGCCUCAGCUUCUUCCCCCGAGCUGGGCUGAGUCCGCGGCCAGCCAAGGCGCCUCUUCUCCGGGGUCCGAGGAGCCUCCCGCGUCCCCGUUUGUCACUGAGGGGGAUGAUGAAGACAUGAGGUCAACAACAUCUUACUGAGAUUUCAUCAUUCAGAAACAACAAGAGCAGUUCCUGGGAUCUCCUUCAGCACUCGUAAUAUGGAAUUAUAACAUUUCCUUUCUUACGUCGUCUCACAUCCUGCACGUUCCAGCCAGCACAAUUUUCCUUUCAGAGGUUAAUUCCAAAGUGCCAUCGAUGAAAAGGAGAGGGCUGAUUGUCACCCUUAGCCGAUUUAACCGUGCAAGAGUAUUGGAGAAACUUGUUUUCCCCGUCCUUGAUUGGAUUGACGAAUUAAAGCGAACAUUUUGAAUUGAAAGUGAGCAUGAUAGGAUCUUGAGCAUAUGGUACUUCACAACUGAGGAAGGCGAACGAUGGCGUCCAGAGAGAGGCUGUAUGAACUUUGGAUGCUCUAUUGCAAUAAGAAAGACCCAGACUACUUGAAGCUCUGGUUGGACAGUUUUGUUUCUAGUUAUGAACAGUUUCUGGAUGUGGAUUUUGAAAAGCUGCCCACUAGGGUGGAUGAUAUCCCCCCGGGAAUAUCGCUGCUUCCUGAUAACAUCCUUCAGGUCUUGAGGCUUCAGUUGCUGCAGUGUGUCCAGAAAUUGUCAGAAGGGCUGGAAGAACCACAGCAGGCCUUGUCGCUUCUCCUGGUCAAAUUCUUCAUUAUUCUUUGCCGAAAUUUGGCUAAUGUGGAGGAGAUUGGCACCUGUUCCUAUAUUAACCAUGUUAUUACGAUGACUACACUGUAUAUUCAGCAGCUAAAGAGCAAAACGAAGGAGAAAGAAGUCGCCGACCAGACGCCCAUAGAAGAGUUUGUAAGACACGCGCUGGCUUUUUGCGAAAGCCUGUACGACCCCUAUCGCAACUGGAGGCAAAGAAUCGCUGGACGAAUUCUGAGCAGUGUUGAAAAAAGCAGGCAGAAGUACAAACCAGCUUCCCUUACAGUGGAGUUUGUCCCUUUCUUUUACCAGUGUUUUCAAGAAAGUGAGCAUCUCAAAGAGAGCCUGAAGUGUUGUUUGCUACACCUCUUUGGAGCGAUUGUGGCUGGUGGGCAGAGAAACGCUCUCCAAGCCAUAUCUCCUGCCACCAUGGAAGUCUUGAUGCGCGUACUGGCAGACUGCGACGCCUGGGACAGCCGAGACCCCGACGAAGUGAGCAGGAAGGCCGAGCUGACCCUGAAGUGCCUGACGGAAGUGGUUCACAUCCUUUUGACCAGCAGCUCGGACCAGCGGCAAGUGGAGACCAGCACCAUAUUGGAGAACUACUUCAAGCUGCUCAACUCGGACCACACGGCUUUGCCAAACUCGCGGAGGUCCCGGCAGUGGGAGAGCCGGUUCAUAGCGCUACAGAUUCAAAUGCUGAAUACCAUCACCGCCAUGUUAGACUGCACAGACAGGCCUGUUCUGCAAGCCAUUUUCCUUAACAGCAACUGCUUUGAACAUCUGAUUCGCCUGCUGCAAAAUUGCAAGCUGUUUUUAAAUGCUAACAGUCAGGUGGCAGACAAGACUGAGAAAGACCUUGCCAACAAAUUACUGACAGAAAUGAAUCAGGAACAGGUAUUUCAGGGACAGCUAGACUGCUUGGCGGUAUCAGCCAUUCGAGCCCUUACAGCUGUGAUGCACAAAUCUCCCGCUGCUAAGGAGGUGUUUAAGGAGCGGAUUGGUUAUGCCCAUAUAUUUGAGGUCCUAAAAUCUAUGGGUCAGCCAUCACGGGAACUGCUUGAAGAACUUUUGAACAUGGCCGUUGAAGGUGAUCACGCCUCUGUUGGGAUGCUGGGCAUAAGCAACGUCCAGCCCUUGUUGCUGUUGAUUCAGUGGCUCCCAGAUCUCGAGUCGCACGAUCUCCAGGUCUUCAUCUCAGGCUUGCUGAAGCGAAUUUGCUGCAUCAACCGGCAGAGCCGGGCCAUCUGUGUCAAUACGAGCAUGGUCCUCCGCAUCGUGGAGACCCUCGGCCAACACACCCUGCUCCACGGAGCCUGCGCCGAGAACCUGAUUGUCCUCUUGGGCUCCCUAGGGAGCCAGUCGAUGAGCUCCGAAGAACUCCACCAGCUCAUCAGGCUGCUGAGGACUAAGGACCCCAAACAGACGCACCCUUACGUUGUCCCGGUGAUGCGCGCAAUCCUGACGAUGGCUCGGAAGCAGGGCCUGGAUAGCGCCUUGCAAUAUUUUGACCUCUCCCACAGCAUGGCGGGCAUUGCCGUCCCACCUAUUCACAAGUGGCCGGGUUCUGCGUUUGCUUUCAGCGCUUGGCUGUGCCUGGACCAAGAACAAACGACUCCUGGUGCCAGCGGCAAGGGGCCCAAGAGGAAACAGCUCUACAGCUUUUUUACAGGCAAUGGAACAGGGUUUGAGGCAUUUAUUACAUGUUCAGGGAUGCUAGUGGUUGCCGUGUGUACAAAGAAGGAAUAUGCGACCGUGAUGCUGUCGGAUCAUUGCUUCUGUGAUUCUCUUUGGCACAACAUAAGCAUUGUUCACAUGCCUGGGAAGAGGCCCUUCGGUCAAAGCCUUGUAUAUAUUUAUGUGAAUGGACAGCAGAAGAUCUCGGCCCCCCUCAGAUUUCCUGCCAUGAAUGAAUCUUUUACUUCUUGCUGCAUUGGUUCUGCUGGCCAAAGGACAACUACUCCACCGCCAUCCCAGAUCCCAGAUCCGCCUUUUUCAUCUCCUGCUCUGCCCCAUCGGACGUCGCUGGGUGGUAUUCUUAGCCCAGGCAGCUGGAGUGGGCUGCUGGGCAAGCCGGAACACAUCACUAAGCUGAUCUCGGCAGGAACGCAGGACAGCGAGUGGGGAUGCCCUACCUCUCUCGAAGGCCAGCUUGGAUCAGUCAUCAUAUUUCAUGAAGCGUUGCAGCCUACUCAUGUGAAAGCGUUGUAUUUGGCAGGUCCAAACUGCUUAACUCCAUGGAAAUCUCAAGACUCCGAAGCAGCCGAUUUGCCCAGUAAAAUGCUUCUUCAUUAUACACCCAAGGCUUGCAGAAGCCCAAUAUGCCUUGACCUUUCCCCCAAUCUUCUACAUGGAAGGCUAACAGGGAACAAAGUGGUGAAUUGGGACAUCAAGGAUAUGAUCAACUGUGUUGGUGGACUGAAUGUGCUGUUUCCACUUCUGGAGCAGAUCAGCUACCUCGAUGGGCAGCUACCUGAGAGGCUUGAUGUGGAAUCGGUUGCUCCUGAAUUGCAGACACCUGUAGAAGGAGAUUGGGUGGUGUUAACCUCCACCAAGGCUUCGGAGGCUCGUUUAGAGAAGAACAUUGUUGCAACUUUCAUCCUGAUGAUAAAGCACUUUAUUCAAAGGCACCCAAUCAACCAGGACAAUCUUGUUCACUCGCAUGGAGCCGCAACCUUAGGAGCCCUGUUGCAGAAGGUGCCAAGCAGCUUCAUGGAUGUGAAUGUCUUGAUGGCCGUCCAGUUGUUGAUAGAACAGGUCUCUGUGGCGAAAAACGCACCGCUUCUCCAGCAGAUGUAUCAACACUUGCUUUUUGACUUCAGCGUCUGGAAUCGGGGAGACUUCCCGUUCCGAAUCGGUCACAUCCAGUACCUUUCUACAAUUAUCAAAGACAGUCGGAGGCUCUUCCGAAAAAAGUAUGGCGUGCAGUUUUUACUGGAUACACUGAGGAUCUAUUAUGGAAACAGCUCCAAAGACAGUGACUUGGCGCCAGAUGAUCUUAAAACAAUAAGAACAUCUCUGUAUGGAUUAAUAAAGUACUUCCUGAGCAAAGGUGGGGCGCAUGAGGAAGUGCAGAGCAUCAUGGGCUAUAUAGCAGCCAUCAAUGAUGAGGAGCAGCUCUGUGGCGUCCUGGAAGUACUUUUCAGCCUGCUCCACACCAGCCCAACUCGAGACCAGCUUUUCUUGUUGCUUUUUGAGCCAGGAAAUGCAGACAUCCUCUAUGCUUUGCUGCUGAACCAGAGGUACUCAGAUGGACUACGGGAGCUUGUGUUCAAGAUCAUGGGGCAGAUGUUGAAGUGCACCAAAGUCUAUGAGCGGAGCAAACAGCGUAUGAAACUCAGAGAAGUCGGGUAUUCCGGACUGGGACUGCUCCUGAACGAAUCUCCAGUGACCACAUCUCUUAUUAAGAACCUUCUCAACCAAGUUCUUCAUGCAGAUCCAGUCGUGAAUUACAGGGACUUUAUAGCAGUGGUGCAUCUGGCUCACAGAGCAGAUAUCAAUGUCCGAGUGGCCAUCUGUCAAAAGCUUUUGCAAAUCUUCCAUAGCCAGCCGGAUUCAGCGCAUCAGAUUUCUCAGCAGCGUGGCUGGCAGGAGACGUUGGCGAGACUCUUCCUGAAAGAGAAUGCCGAGGUCAGGAACGGUGCGAGGGAGAUCAGGAACGACUCCGCCAAAGAGGGUGAAAAACACACCACGGGUAAAGACUUUCAGAAACACUCUUCUUCAAAGGCCGACGGGGGAGACGCUACCGGUUUUGCAUCUCUCAACGGUUCCUGCGAUCGGUGGAGCCUAGAAGACACCAAACCUGGGGUGAUGUUGGAAGAUCCUUCCGGGGCAGAGAUGUCGUUCAUGGCUGAGGACCAAGAUGAGCUGUGGCGGAAGAACCCUUCUCACCUGAGCUUGGACCUGUCGAGCGUUGACUCCUACGAACUGGGCGACGGUGGGAGUCAGAUGGUGGACAGCCUGCCCAGCACCCCUUCGCCUGUCGAGAACACCAAAACAUUCUCUGGGCAUCUUGAGAAAGAGCAAAACACUGCGGCAGAGGUGGCAUUCUCGGCAGAUCUCUCAUUAUUUGAAAUUCGCGAGGCAUGUGAAGAAGAUCUCAUACAAUUACUCACCGAUGCCCUGCUUUGUGUGAUGUGGAGAGGCAUAGAAAGAUCUGACGAUGCUGCGUGGGUUGAGAGGGGGCAGGUUUUUUCUGCCCUCACCAAAUUGGGGAUAUCCAAUGAGCUGCUACGGCCAACGGAUGAAAUAAAACUCAACUUGCUAGAGAAGAUGUUGGAAUGGGCAGUCACGGACAACAGAGACGCUAAAUCUCUCCCAGUGUAUGCAGAAAACGCCUUCCGGCUCCUGCUUAUCGUGCAAGAUUUCCUGCAGGCGGAAGGGCUUGUUAAUUCAAGUCUGUGGACGGAAAAGCUCUUAGAAGAGUUGGUGACUCUCAUGGAUACCUUGUCCGUCUGGUACUCUUCCGGCCCAGAGUAUGUCAAGUUCUACCAAGUACAAGUCCAGAUGCUGCUUGGAUUCAUUGGACAGGAUAAUUUGCAGGUUUGCGCAAUGGCUGCAGCCAAACUAAACACCCUCCUUCAGACCAAAGUGCUGGACAACCAACUGGAGUCCUGCUACCUCCUGGGCAGGCUGGAGGGCAUUCUGAGCCGAUCGAUCAAGGAAAAGACAGAGACAUACUCUUUCCUGAUCCCUCUCGUCCGGACGCUGGUUUCCAAAAUAUACGAGCUGCUCUUCAUGGACCUGCACUUGCCCUCCCUGCCUUCGACCAACGGGAGCCCUUCCUUUUUUGAGGACUUCCAGGACUAUUGCAACACGGAGGAAUGGCAGACUUAUAUUGCCAAAUUUAUCAUUCCACAUAUGAAGCAGUACGAACUCAGCACUUUCAGCGACGGCCACGAGCGCAUGGCAGUAUUUUGGAAGGAUUGUUAUGAGGAACUGAUGGUCAACAUCCAUAAACGAGAGCGGGAGCGAGGAGAAAGCAAGCUCAAAUUCCAGGAGUUUUUCGUGGAGCCAUUCAACCGACGGGCAAGGCAAGAAAACCUGCGUUACAACAGCAUGUUGAAGCAGCUGAACAAUCAGCACACGGCAACUCUCCGACAGUGGAGAGCUGCAAAACUGUACCUCACGUGUGAGCAGGGACCCUGGGCUGAAAGGAAGCUAAAUCGUAUUCACUGGAAACUUUCAAAUGUGGAAAAUUACUCACGGAUGAGGCUAAAGUUGGUACAAAAUUACAAUUUCAAUUCUCACCAGGAGGCCAGUGCCCUAAGGGAUAAUCUAGGAGUCCAGCAGGCGCCACCAACCAGCGAGGCUUUGCUUCUGGAGGCUGUGAAGCAAGUGAAAGUCAGCGAUAUGGAGGAUGAUAUACUUGAACUGCCAGAUGAAGAUCCAGCAUCUAAUACAAGCAUGGAUGAAAAGGAGGAGCAGAGCCAGAAAGAAAAACUUGUGCUCUCUGAAGACUGCGAACUUAUUACAAUCAUUAAUGUCAUCCCCGGCAGGCUGGAGGUCACUACCCAGCACAUUUACUUCUACGAUGGCAGCAUUGAAAAAGAGGAAGGUAUAGGUUUUGAUUUCAAAUGGCCUCUUUCUCAGAUUCGAGAGAUUCAUUUGCGUCGCUAUAACUUGAGGAGGUCCGCUCUGGAGAUCUUCUUCGUUGACCAGACCAAUUACUUCCUGAACUUUAAAAAGGAGGCAAGAAAUAAAGUGUACAGCCGAAUUCUGUCUCUGUGUUCCCCAAAUAUUAGUGGGACAAGAUCUCCACAAGAAUUAUUUAAAGCAUCUGGACUGACCCAGAAAUGGGUAAACAGAGAGAUCUCAAACUUUGACUACCUCAUUCAAUUAAACACAAUGGCAGGACGAACCUAUAACGACCUUGCGCAGUAUCCUGUAUUUCCAUGGGUCCUACAGGAUUAUACUUCAGAAGAAUUGGAUCUCAAUAACCCGGCCGUGUUCAGGGAUCUGUCCAAGCCCAUUGGCGUGGCGAAUGAAAAGAACGCCAAGGCUGUACUGGAAAGAUAUGAGAACUUUGAAGACCCACUUGGAAUUGUCGACAAGUUCCACUACGGCACUCACUAUUCCAACGCAGCUGGAGUCAUGCAUUACCUCAUCCGGGUAGAGCCUUUCACCACAUUGCACAUCCAGCUUCAGAGUGGCAGAUUUGACUGUGCGGAUCGGCAGUUCCAUUCCAUUCCUGCCACCUGGCAAGCUCUCAUGGAGAACCCCAACGAUGUGAAAGAGCUCAUCCCAGAAUUCUUCUACUUUCCAGAGUUCUUAGAGAAUCAAAAUAAUUUCAGCUUGGGGCAGCUGCAGAUCUCGAAAGAAGUCGUGAAUGAUGUUCUCCUCCCGAAAUGGGCGCAGUCACCAGAGGACUUCAUUUUUAAACACAGGAAAGCUUUGGAGUCGGAGUACGUCUCUGCUCAUCUCCACGAGUGGAUAGAUCUGAUUUUUGGCUACAAACAGAGAGGGCCAGCUGCGGUGGAGGCCAUGAAUGUGUUCUAUUACUGUACUUACGAAGGAGCUGUAGAUCUUGAUGCCUUGACCGACGAGAAAGAAAGGAAAGCUUUAGAGGGGAUGAUUAACAAUUUUGGACAAACCCCUUGUCAGCUACUCAAGGAGCCGCAUCCUGCAAGACUGUCUGCGGCGGAAGUGGUGCAAAAGCAGACCAGAAAUGAAAACGCUGCAUUUCACCUGUUCCAACAUCUCCCUGAAUUGAAGUCAUUCUUCAUUGAGGGGAUCAGCGAUGGGAUACCUAUUGUUAAGUCCAUUGUCCCCAGGAAUCAGUCACGUUCUUUCAUGUCACAAGGGAGCCCAGAGAUUUUGGUAACAGUGAGUCAGAACUGCGUCAUUGGAACUCACGGGUGGUUGCCUUACGACAGAAAUAUCUCCAACUAUUUCACUUUUCUGAGAGAUCAAACUGUGACAAAUCCCAAAACACAACGAAGCGUGAGUGGUCCUUUUGCGCCAGGACUGGAGAUCACACCCAAGUUGUUUGUAGCAUCUCACGAUGCAAAGCUGCUAUUUAGUGGAGGCCAUUGGGACAACAGCAUCAGAGUGACGUCACUCACAAAGGGGAAAUUGAUGGCACAGCAUAUUAGGCACAUGGAUAUAGUGACAUGCCUGGCUAUGGAUUUCUGCGGAAUCCAUUUAAUUUCGGGCUCGAGGGACACCACUUGUAUGAUAUGGCAAGUUGUUCAGCAGGGAGGCGUGCCUGUAGGCCUGGCACCUAAACCGUUGCAGAUUCUGUAUGGACACACCCAUGAAGUUUCUUGUGUUGGCAUCAGUACAGAACUGGACAUGGCUGUGUCAGGGGGCAGGGACGGCACUGUGAUUGUGCAUACGAUUCGGAAAGGUCAGUACGUGAAGACUCUGCGGCCGCCCUGCGAGAGAGCUCUCUCGCUCACUGUCCCAAAUCUUGCCGUCUCCUGGGAAGGACAUAUAGUUGUCCACACCAGUGUAGAAGGAAAGACAACUCUCAAGGAUAAAAAUGCACUACAUCUCUAUUCUGUGAAUGGAAGGUACUUGGGCUCUGAGAGCCUGAAAGAGGACGUGUCGGAUCUGUGCGUGGCUGGGGAAUAUAUUGUCACAGGGAGCCUACAGGGAUUUCUAUCCAUACGAGAUCUCCACAGCCUCAGCCCCAGCACCUCCCCGUUGGCCAUGCGGCUGCCGAUCCGCUGUGUGUCUGUGACCAAAGAGUCCAGCCAUAUUCUGGUGGGCCUCGAGGACGGCAAGUUGAUCAUCAUCGGCGUCGGAAAACCGGCAGAGAUGCGUGUGGGACAGCUCUCUCGAAAAUUGUGGGGUUCAAGCAAACGCAUCAGCCAGAUUUCAUCAGGAGAGACUGAAUAUAACACGCAAGAUUCCAUGUGAUUUCUGCUCCUGCCUCCUCUUGAGGAAUUCCACACAUUUAUUUAAUCUUCUGAUUAUUUUCCAAUCAUGUCUUUGGAAAUUGGGUAAUUUAUUUCAGGGAUGAAGAGCCUUUGGCCUGCCAGAUUUUGUUCAACUUUUGUUCAGUCAGCACGGCCAAAGAUCCAAGAUGAUAGGAGUUUUUAGUCCAGCAACAUCUCUGCAGGCCACAGGUUUCCCCAUGUCUUCUGAUUUAUUUAUUUAAAGGAUCAAUGCUCUUGUAUUGUGCUCUUUAACAAAGGUUAUUAAAAAAAAAGUAUUUAGUGGGUUUGUUUUAAUAAAUCUGGCUCGGGUGUGUAGAAAUUCUGAUUGGAAAUAACUUUGCUGCUUAUUAUAGGGAUCAACUGGGAUUUCAGGGAUUAAGCCAUUUUCACACAGGGCUGAAAUUGAGCAUGUGCUUAUACGUGUGGGAGCAAGUUAAAAUGAAAGCAGUCGUUAAUUUAGCAAUACCAAAGAUAAUCUGGAAGUGUUGAAACAUUUAUGAAUGUGAAACUGGUUCAUUAAGGUUUAAAAGUGAAGGAGUAUUGAUGAAUAUUCUGGAACGAGUCACCUUUUCUUUUUUUAAUUCAAAAAACUAGGUGAUAUAAUUAUGCGGUUAUGGGUGGGUUUCUACAGUGUGUUGUUUGGGGGCAUUAUGUUGAUGGUUAUUUUGGAUUUUUUUAAAAAAAAAACUAUAAAGAAAUGUCAGCCUGGUAAACAAAGACUAAUUCAGAGGAGCAAACUAGAGAAAUUGUGAGAACUGUUCACAUGCUUGUUCUUUCUCCAGUGAUAUUUGGAAGGCCUCCCAGCAAAACUCUGAGUAACUUAUGAGUCUUCUAACUUUCGAAGAAAAUAAUUACGGAAAGCCAACAUGGUGGCCUCACAAUAUCGUUGGAUGCACUGCCAUCAGACUUGGUCACUGUUGCCAAUGGUUGGGGAAUGAUGGGAGUUGCAAUCUGACAACGCCUUGAAGGCAUCACGUUGGCUGUGGGUCAAUGGAAAUAUUGGGCACAUGGAAAUUUAUCCAUCUUCAAUCUGUGUAGAACUUCCCUCCACAGCCAAGUGGGGCUUAUAGACUGAGUCCUUACACACCUUCAACUACGCUUCCAUUCAGAGAAUGGAAGCCUAGUUUCAGAAGUGAUGCUAAGCCAUGGCUUAGCUCAGGCGUAGGCAGACUCGGCCCUCCAGAUGUUUUGGGACUACAACUCCCAUGAUCCCUAGCUAACAGGACCAGUGGUCAGGGAUGAUGGGAGUUGUAGUCCCAAAACAUCUGGAGGGCCAGGUUUGUGUAUGUCUGGCUUAGCUUAAGGGUAGGGCAGUAAUACCCUUAGGAGAAGCAGCUGCGGUUCUUACGGAGAAUACUGCCAUUUCGACAUCUUCUCUCGUAGUCGUGGUUUGGCUUGGGGUUACAUGACGGGUGUGCGAUUUCAGGUUCCCCACCUGCGCUGUAGCUGUCAGGUCUGUGUCCUGUGCCACCCCAGUGGCAUGGGUCAUACCAGGAAACCACACGCUUUGCUGGCCUCUCUGUAAACUCCUGUACUGGAGCAUUCAGGUUCCUCGUGCCACUUCCUAGCAUGUCAACGAAAAGUCUUCACUUUGAGAGCU